rnacentral:rRNA from 1 species
CAGCAGCCGCGGGAAUACGAAGGGGGCUAGCGUUGCUCGGAAUUACUGGGCGUAAAGGGAGCGUAGGCGGAUGUUUAAGUCAGGGGUGAAAUCCCAAGGCCCAACCUUGGAACUGCCUUUGAUACUGCUUGUCUUGAGUUCGAGAGAGGUAAGUGGAACUGCGAGUGUAGAGGUGAAAUUCGUAGAUAUUCGGAAGAACACCAGUGGCGAAGGCGGCUCACUGGCUCAUUCUAGACGCUGAGGUGCGAAAGCGUGGGGAGCAAACAGGAUUAGAUACCCCAGUAGUCCCUGUCUCUUAUAC